GUCAGCUCCAGUUCAGACCUUCUCAGAGUCCUGAGGCCCUGCCAGCAAUCACAGCCCCAGCCAACCGGAGUCCUCCACUCACAUUCCUGCUCACUGUGGUCAGGGAUCUGCCGAGGCCCGGGAGUCUAGAGGCCCUCAGCUGGCUUUCAGGUUGCUUUGGGACAAGGCAAGCAACUGACUCAUGCAGCCGUGUACUGAAGAUUGCUUAGUCACCGUCCACCUCUGUCUUAGGGUACAGGGAAGCACAGUUCCCGCUGGUGCCCCUCCGACCCAUCCAGCCCUUCCUCUGGAGAAGAGAAAGGGCACUGCUGUUUGCAUGCUAAUGAGCCCGACACACCGCAUUUUCCAGUUCUCACAAUGACAGCCUACACCUGUCACUCUGUGUGCCAAGCAGGGAAGGCUGCGGAUGCCACAGACACAGGGGAGGAGGUGCAGGAGGAAGGAAGAAGAUCAUCAACUCUGAACAGCAGUGCGUCAAACCUGACUUGGUAAACCAGGACAUAGCCAGAGGUUAAACUGGAGAUCCCUGCACAUCCCUCCUAAUUAGAGAAAGCCUUGGUGUUGAACAGAAUGUGGGUUCAGAUCCUGGUGUGGCUGUUGACCUUGGGCAGGAUGCCUGACCUCUGAGACUUGUAAAAUGGAGAUCACAGUUACUGGUAAGGAAACUGAGGCCUGGAAAGGUUAAAUAAUGGCUCUCGCAUCAUGGCUGGGAUGUGGCUUUGGACCCAGGCAGCCAUAACUCUAGAACCUAUGCUCUUAACCACCCCUUCCUCCAUGCUCCCCCACUUACCAUUCAUCAACAGCAAGAGAACAUGUGUGAGGUUGAAGAUAAUGAAUUUGGUUUGAGAUGUCGAUGCAGUGUUUCCUCGAGGACAUCUAGGUAAGAGACUUCUGGUCCACAGUUGGGUUUGUACAUGGAGUAUAGGAAUCAAGACACUGUAGACAGAUGGGGAUUGAGUCGUGGGUGAUAAGGUCACACAGGGAGUGGGGUAGCAUGACAACAGAGGAGGGUCCGGGACACAUUUAAAGAGUAGAUGGAGGAGAAGGAGUCUGAGGACAGGCCGCCAAGAGAAGGGAAAGGGAGGUCUUGGAAGGAGGGAGACCAUACGUCUGAGUUUGCCUGGGAGAUUCUUGGUUUAUGACAGUUAGCCUGGCAUAAUAAUUCAUUAGUGCCCUUUGUCACUUUAAGCAAUGGCCCAGUUUGGAAGACAAAUGAUAUAUUCACCCUCCUUAGAGGGUCAAGGAGGUGAAAGUAUCAGGGAGGAGGAAAUGCAGGUGUAAAAUAUCGCAGAGAGAACAAUAACAUGUUUGCUAAGUGGUACAUUGGAGUUGGAUUUGGCAAACUGAUGACCUUGAGAGAGGUUUCUGAGGAAAGAGGUGGUGAAUAGAUUCAUGCUGACAUCUGAAGAAGCAGUAAGUAGAGAUAACACAUAUGCACAAGUCACUGUUUUUGACCAGGGAGGCAGAGGUAACAAAUAGACAACUCUGUCCUGAUGGAAUUUAUUGUGUAUGUGUGUGGUUUUGGAAGAAUAAAGCAGAGUGACAUGAUAGAAUCACUGGAAUUUAUUUGAGGCCCAUGGUGGGGAGGUGGGAAGCCCUCUCAGAAGCUGUAACACUUGACCUAAGAAUUCUGUGAAAAGAGCAAGCCUGCCUGUGAAGCUUGAGGGAUGGAAACUUCCAGAGAGAGGCAAGAGUUCAUGCAAAGGCACUGAGGUCGGAGUUUGAAAAACAGAAAGAAGGUCAUUGAGGGUGGCAGUGGGCACCAGAGGGGAGAAGAUGGAUUCCAGAGGUAGGAGGAGUGAAUUGACAGCCCUUGGUGACAGACUGGCUAUGAGGGAGAAAACAGAGGAUGGUCUAGGAAGGCUUCCCAUGUCAACUUUGGAAAUGCGGGUACCUGCUCCUCCCUACCCUCAGACAGAUCCGGCAGAAGAAACUGGUUUUGAUGGAAUGCAAUGAAUUAUGUAGUGAGUUGAAUAGUGGGUUAUCCACUUGGACAUAUCCUUUGUCCAACCAUAACCUGUGAACCUGUGAAUGUAAACUUACUUGGAAGAAGGGUCUUUGCAGAUGUAAUUAAGGAUCUUGAGAUAAGAUUAUCCUAGAUUUAGAAUGGGCCUUAAAUCCAAUGGCAGGUGUUCUUAUAAGAGAAAGGCAGAGGGAAAUCUGAGACAUACAGGGGAGGAGAGAAGGCCAUGUGAAGAUGGAGGCAGAGAUUGGAUUCCUUAUAGUCACAAGCCAAGGAAUGCCCGGAGCUACCAGAAGCUGGAAGAGGCAAGGAAGGAUCCUCCCCUAGAGCCUUCAGAGUGAGCAUGGCCCAGCUGACACCUUGACUUCAGACUUCUGGCCUCCACAGCUGUGAGAGACUAAAUUCCUUUGUUUUAAGCCACUAGGUAUGCGCUAAUCUGUUUUAACAGCCACAGGAUACUAAUACAAACUAUUCCAUGUCGAGGGUGGGGAGCUAGACAGAGGUGUUGGCUGGGCGAGUGGCUACAUGGAGCACCCCUCAGGAGAGAAGCCAGGCCUGGAGAUAAAGCUUUCAAAGGCGGUUGAGCAGGUGGUAGUUUAAAUCAGUGUUUUUUUUUUUUUCUUAAGUAGGCUCCAUGCUCAGUGUGGAGCCCAACGCGGGGCUUGAACUCAUGAUCCUGAGAUCAAGACUUGAGCUGAGGUCAAGAGUCAGACGCUUAACCAACGGAGCCACCCAGUCUUCCAGGGGUCAGCCGCACUGGAUAGAUCCAGGUUUUAAAAGGGCAACCUACUAUUUCCUACUCUGGAUGGAAUAUGAGCCUACAUAUCUGUUGUACAUAUUUUGACUUCAUUAUAGGAGAUAAGCUCUCGGACGUUCUGCAAGUAUCUGGAAUUUAAAAUUUUUUAAACUGAGCCCCUUCCUCAAUGUCUGUGGGCUUGUUCCCUCAUCUCUAAAUUUCAUUCAAAUGUAACCUUCUCAGGAAAGCCUUCCUUAGUCAUUCUAUUGAAAUCUGCAGCCACCUCCUCCCUGGUCAUGUCAUAACCAUUUUUCUCCAUAGCACAUAUCACUGCCUGAUAUAUUACAUAUUUAUUAAUAUUCUGUUAAUUACCUAUCAGCCCCCAAUAAAAGAUAAGUUCCAUGAGGGUGGGGCUUGUUCACUGCUGCAGAUAUUGCCUAGAGCACUAUCUAGCACAUAGUAGGUCUUUAUUUAUUGAAUGGCAAAUGAGUGGCUUAUCGGAUACCUACUCUCGGCUCCCACCUCAAACUCACCCUUUCUAGAAACAAAUUCUGACACCUUUUUAUACCAACACCCAGGUUAAAAAAAUUGGCAUCAUUUUUCUUCCGCCUUUCUUCAGUCUCAGCUACCAGUUUCCCAAGUCCUGGCAGCUCUUGUGUUAUGUCUCUCGCUGAUGCUAUGCCCUUAAUAGAUGCUCAAUAGAAUGCUGUAGCAAGGUUACUUCUGGCAGUUGGCAUGGAGGAAAGAGAGGAAGAUUUAUUUUUCCUCCUUACCCUCUGAACUAUUUGGUAUUUAAAAAAAUCAGGAGAGUUGUAGUAGACAGCGUUGGCUUCCUAUCACCCAUUUCCACCCCCACUUCCUUACUUAAGGUGUCCAUCAGCCUCCAUGGCCCACUACAUGUUCAGGAGAUGCUGACUCAAACUGUUCAACUUAGCUGUCAGGGAAAGGAUGGGUUCGGAUUAGUUUAAGCCAUUGUCUGCAUGUGUGUCAUCACCCCCCACUGGGAGCACAGGACCCACUUAAAUGUUUUCUCUAUCCUCAUAGAUGUGGACAAGAUAAUGCUGACUGACUCUGGCAGCCAUCUUGUGACCACAAAGGGAACCAGCCAAGGACAAAGCUGUCAUUGAGCAUGGCAGGGCUGAGAGAUAGUUUGGGUCUUUGAUGCUCGUGGGAGCCCACCCUCUGUCUGCACUGCUGGUCCAUUCGUCCCCUUAUUCUACAAAUACUACAAAUACUGACUGAGUAUCUACUAUGUAGCAAGCACUGUUUUAGCUGGGGAGACAGCUGUAAAUCAAAACAGACAAAAAUCCCUAUGUCAUGGAGCUUCCAUUCCUGGGGGGAGGGGAGACAGUAGUGACAGAUCAUAAAAAUAACUACAAUACACAAGUAAAUAAUAUAUUAGAAAGUUAUAAGUGCUAUGUUAAAUAAAAAAAAACCAGAGCAAUUUGCUAGAAUAGAUUCUCCAACACUGAACUCCUGUAUGUGUUGUGUGUUCUUUUCAGUAAUAAAUCAAAACACCCCUUUUGGAAGCUGACAGUUUUUUUAGUUUGCAAUAGGUAAGAAUACAUCAUUGUGCACUGGAGUUGGGAUUCUGAUCUGAUUUUUUUCUAAUCCAAUUGAACCCAUUGUGCAUCAGUGGUUGAAGACAGGUGGAAAUUAUGAAGGACAUGGGAGCAUUCCUGGGUAUUGGGAUUUAAAAAGGCAUUUGUCUUUGGGCAAGGGUAAUUCGCACAUGAAUAAAUCUCAGAACUGCCUAUUAGUGUUGCAAAGGUAUCAGAUGCAAACAAAGCAAAUGACAACAAAACAAUAAAAUACAUACAAAUGUGGUGGUUAUUAUUUGAAAUCUGGAUUACCGAUGGACUGGCAAUGAAAGUGAACCAAUGCCAUCAUGCACCACAUAUUUUAGAGAUGCUCCUAAAUUCUGGCAUAAACUUACCCAACAUCAGGCAUCAUUUUGAAAUGUACAUAGAAUACCAUCUUAAAAACUGUCAAAGUAACUUAAUGUUAUGACUAGAACACAGUGUAUCAGGAGAUAAAAUUGUAAACUCUGUGGAAGCCAAAUGUGUAGGAUUGUAUUUAAUUGCAAUGCCUAGAACUGCUAAGUUUAUUGACAAAUUUUCAGUCCUGACACCAAAAAAGAAAAAAAAAAAAAGGGUAGAGAAUGAUGAUCAAAGAAAACACAAUGAUUGACAAGAUAUCUCUGUCCCACAGAGUAAAUUACAGAAUGGCGGCCGAUAGAAGGCAGCCAUUUUUAUUAGCACAACCAAGUGAAAUGAGUUAUUGCAAACUGGCAAACCCACUGAUAUUCUGAAUCCUAAUGUUCUUUUAGGGUUGUCAGUAUGACAACCUAUGAACUAGGUAAAGAAGCCCAUGAAAAUAUUUUUAGGCUGCCAACCUUAACCGACUUGCACAGACAACUGACGAAUGCCUCGUGAUACAGCCCGGAAGUGAGAAUCUGGGAUAGGCACGCACAGGCUGAAGGUCUGGUUGGCAACACCAGAAGACCAUCUCCACCUUCACGCUGUUACAAAGAAACAGUUGCCCUUCAGAAUAUGUAUGAAGACUUAAGACAGGUACUUAAUGAAGCUAAUAAAAUUGUCAACCACGUCCCAAGCAGGCCGUUAAAUAAAUACCUGGCCUUUUUUCUUGGCUGUAUGAAGAGACGGGUCAUGACUGCAAAGCACCAUUUCAAACGAAAGCUCAUUGUCUUUUGAUUAGAAAAGUUUUUGUUCUUUCAAGUUGUAAAAGGAACUUUAUUUUUUUCAUUGAAAACUCUCCCUGGGGGAGAUAUUGUGCGUGGAUGGGCCUGGCUUUACAAGUUAAUCUCUGCGUUCAUGUCAACUCCGGUGCGUGCUGUUACCAGGCAAGUGUAGGAGUGAGUGGUCCACCAUGGAGACCCAGGAGUCGCAGCGCUGGAAACCUGGCCCCAUCUGGCAGAGACCUUGGUCUGGGGAGUUGAGAUUUUUGCCCUUGCCUGAAAGAUCUGGUUAGUAACCCACCUGAAAAUAGGAAGAGACACUUAGACGACUUAAUAAAAGGGCUCUAUAAGUCAAACUGGAAGUGGCUUGGUGGACAAGGAAACUCUUACGGCACCACUUUAGGACAUCACCAAAUAACUUUGGACCUUUUUAAGAAGAGCGGGUUCUAGAGAUAGCUUCAGAUGGUUUCUUGAAACUGCUUUUUUUGGGUUCGUUUGGGUUUUUUUUGUUUUUGAAUACAGUCAUUUAUAUCGUUUUGUUCCACUUAUGUCAUUUUAAGUGGGAAUUAUUUCUCAGCAUCUGAUCCAGUCAGAGAAGACCAUUAAACAGAGGAGUAGUCAACAUUUACUAGCACUUUCCUUGUGCAAGGUGCCGUUGGAAGUGCACAUACUCCUUUAAUCCUCUCGAUGACGCUGGGAGGCAGAUAUUAUCCUGUAAAUAAGCGACUGUUACUAUCUCUGUUUUAUAGAUGAUGAAACAGGCACAAAAGGUUAAGCAUCUUGGGGCACCUGGGUGACUCAGUCGUUAAGCGUCUGCCUUCGGCUCAGGUCAGGAUCCCAGGGUCCUGGGAUCGAGCCCAACAUCAGGCUCCCUGCUCCACGGGAGGCCUGCUUCUCCCUCUCCCACUCCCCCUGCUUGUGUUCCUGCUCUUCCUCCCCCCCCCCCUCUCUCUGUGUCAAAAAAAAAAAAAAAAAAAAACAUCUUGCCCUGGGUUGCACAGGCAGAGAAGCCAGGAUUAAAACCCAGACAAUUCUGGCUUCUCAAGCCAAACUUUCAACCAUUAUGUUAUAUAUUUUAAGUAUACAAAUAUGUGUGUGUAUAUAUUUAAAAUAAGUGAUACUUUAUUGCUGCUGGAACAAAUGACCACAAGCCUAUUGGCUCAAAACAACAUGAUUUUAUUACCUUCGCAUCAUGGAGGUCAGUAGUCUGAAGUGGGUCUCACUGAGCUAAAAUCGAGGUGUAUUCAGGGCUGUGUUCCUUCUGGAGGCUCUAGGGAAAAUCUGUGUCCUUGCUUUUUUCAUCUUCUAGAGGUUACCUGCAUUUCUUGGCUCUUAGCCCCCUUCUUCCGUUUUCAAAGACAGAAGCCUAAAACCUUCAGUUCUCUCUCUCUGACUCUGACGAUGGUUCUCUUGUCUCCCUCUUUGGCUCUAAGGACUCUCGUGAUUACAUCUGGAUAAUCCAGGAUAAUCUCUUUAUUUUAAGGUCAUUGACUAGCAACCCUAAUUCCAUCUGCAACCCUAAUUACUCCUUUCGACAACACAACAUAUUCACAGGUUCCAGGGAUUGGGACGUGGACGUCUUAGCAAGGUCAUCAUUCUGCCUACCACAACUUUCUUACUUCAAAAUUCAAAACUUAAAACACAAAAAGGUGUACAGUGGAAAAUCUCCCUUCUGUGUCUGUGCCCUGGUCACAGAUAGGAAGCUCCCUUCUCCAGAAGCAACUGAUGUUAUCCUGUGUCCUAGAUUUAUUUUAUGCAUAUAAAGGCAAAUAUGUAUAUUUGGGUUUUUAAAAAAAUUUUACCUUCACUAUAAACACUGUCCUACAUAUUGCUUUUUUUUUUUUCCAUUUAAAAAAUAUGUCCUGGAGUUCAUUCAGGUUGAUAUAUAAAGAUCUGUGUCGUUCUUUUUGUGUCUGCAUAGUCUUUGAUUACAUGGGAUGGAUCUCAUGUUGUACUGAUUUUUACUUAUCCCCCAGGACAUUUAGGGGUCUCCAGUCUUUGAGUUGUUUUGGAUCUUUUGUGAUGCAAACAAUGCUGUAACAGCUUUGUACUGUUACCUGGCAAGUGUUUCGUGUGUCUAUAAGAUUAACCCUUAGAAGGAGAAUGACAGGGUCAAGGAGUAUGUGCAUUUGCCAUUUCAAAAGCUAGUGCUAACUGCUUUCUUUUACCCUUUCUGGGUAGGAAUUAAAAAAAAAACAACACAAAACACAUAAAGAACUUAUGUUUAUCUAAUAAAUGUAAUAUAUAUCUCUUGAUGUCUAGGUAUGUGUUUUAAAUUUUUCAGUAGUUGUGUUAUUUGGUCUUUUCGUUCUUUCUUUUUUUUUUUUAAAUAGGCUCCAUGCCUGGCAUGGAGCCCAAUGCGGGGCUUGAACUCACGACCCUGAGAUCAAGACCUGAGCUGAGAUUAAGAGUUGGACACUUAACCCACUGAGCCACCCAGGUGCCCUGUAUUAUUUUCUUUUAAUCCUUUUACCAUUUCAAG